GACGAACGCUGGCGGCGUGCCUAAUACAUGCAAGUAGGACGCAGUUGCGAACGGGUGAGUAACGCGUCGGUAACUGCAUAUUAGAGGGGGCUAAAUAUUGGAACCGAUAGCUCAUACCGCCUCCUAGUAGAUGGACCUGCGUUGUAUUAGCUGUUCGGUCGGGUAAUGCACUACCUAGGCGACGAUACAUAGCCGAGCUUAGAAGGGUAUCGGCCACACUGGGACUGAGACACUGCCCCGACGUCUACCGGAGGCAGCAGUAGGGAAUCUUCGGAAAUGGGGGGAACGCUGUACGAGCACCGGCGGGUGAGUGAAGAAGGUUUUCGGAUCGUAAAGCUCUGUUGUUAAGGAAGCGGUACUUAAACAGAAAGGGACGGCUAACUACGUGCCAGCAGCCGCGGUAAUAC
rnacentral:rRNA from 1 species